rnacentral:sRNA from 1 species
GAAGAGCCUGAGGUGGUCUUGUAGCUUGCAUGCAUGGCAGCAUUACUUCCCCAGUUUUCCUGUGAACUUAUUCUUCUAAGGCCUUGAAGUCUAUCCUGGUAAAAUGGUUCCAACAGCAGUGCUAUUAGUGAGCCCUGCUUCGUGGCCUUGGGGUUGAAUUUCAGCACUAUGAACAUGGACAUCUGAAAGGCAAUUAGAAUAAGAGAUCAGGGAGAAAGAAUCCACUGCUCAAAUGUGAGCUGUGUGACAAUUGGGUAAUUUGGGGAUGUCAACCAAUAAGAAUCUAAUUAAGGCUCCUACAGCUGAUUAGACUUUUUUGUCUCCGUAGUAGCCUCUACUCUGUUACAUAAGGGUCCUUAGAAAGGAAGGUCUGCCCUCCUGCUGUGUGUGUCUGCCUGCCUCAGACGCUGUUGCUUAACAAGACACUAUCUGUCCAUGCUGCUGCAUCUGUUUUCACUGAAACCCAAAUGCAAAACUGGGUGGAGCUCUUCGCAGUGAGUCUAAAUUGAAGAAGAAAGCAAGAUCUGCAAAUCAGUCCAGAGGAAUGAAAGGGGCAGACAGAUGUUGGGAUUGGGGUUGGGAACAGACUAAGUACCACACACACUGUUAAACCAGCCUGAGAUCAGAACUCUCUUACAAUGCAACUGUGAUUUAAAAAAAAAAAAUACCUUCACAAAGACUGUUUAGAAAUAUGGCAAAGCUUUCCUCUUGACCUUCUAAUGUACUUUGUUCUGGGUAAAUUUCAAAGAUCAGCAUGGCUUCCAACCAUAGAACAAACGAAAGGCCAUUUGCAAUCAGGCAAAGUCAACAACUCUUCAAGGGAGCAUUUACCUAGACAAUAUUUAGUAGCUCCGUCCCCUUGGCCAUGUUGCCAGUGAGUUAGAAAUUGGCCAGAGAGUUCAAGAAUCGAGUUCCAGCACUGGGAGGCUGCCGGAGCCUUCCGUUCUUCCCAGCCUAAGAGGAUAAAGCGAUAAAGGUGCUGCUGGCAGUGACAGCACUGGGUGAUCCUGAGAUGAACCUGAGUCCCAGAACAGCAACUCCAUCCCUGGAAGUCCUGUCCCUCUGCUGACCUGCUGUACAGUGCAUGUGCUCUGGGAAGUUUGGGGAUAGCAUGUCUAGUGUUUACCUACUCUGCUGGCUUCUUUGUCACAGAGGAAGAAGCACGGGGAGUUAUUCUGAAAUCCUGGAUCCCCUGCGUGCCAGGAGAAUAGACUACUGACAGGAGCUAUUUGUACAAGCUAAGCUCAACUGGGCAGCAACUCCCUGAGCUGCAUUUUGGGGGGAUUGCUGUAACUCAACAGGAAUGUGAAGCGAUACAAACUAUUCAGAAGCAUUUUUGUAUCUGGAAAUGAAGAAUGUCAAAGGCAUCUUUCUUUCACUCAAUGUUAGCACCUGCGCGGCAGUGACCUGCUCGUGAGCUGGCUCCUUGGUAAAUGAGUCCAAUCCAGAGGCAGCACAGGGCAAGCCUGGACCAACGAAGCUCAACCCUGAAUGACUCUAUAGCUCCAAAGUGAUCUCUGGAUUGUGCCAAUGACCUCCAAACCCAACAACACACACACAUGAUCUUGCUAUGAUCACAAAGCAAUCCUUCCUGUUUUGGUUUUGCUGAUGUCUGUGGAAGGAAAACCUUGGAACAGUGAAUGAAUAAAAGAAGCGAUACACAAAAGACAAAGAAACAGAAUGUUCAAAGUCUCAGGUGUAUUUAGAACACUGCACAUUGAUGGAAUCAGAAGACACCUAACAUAACGAGUGGCAGAGCUUAUCAGAAGGAAGAGAGGAGAGACCCCAGGGAUGGAGGCCAAAAGACAAUGCUUGUCCCCCACUCAGGCACAACAGAAAGGUAUAGACUCCCACCUCAUCCAGGUUUACACUCUUUAGCUCCUGUGAGUAUAGAAAUUAGGAAUACUGUUGCUCAGUGGUAAAUUCCAAGGAUCAAAACAGUGUCAGAGACAGAGGUCAAUACAUCUAUUUAUUUAUUACAUGACUAAACAGUGUGCCCAGUCAUGUUUGGUAAACCAUCAAGAGGGAAAAUGGACGAUCAUGAAAUAACUAUUGUUACUCUAGGGGCUGUUAGUACCUGGAGGGUUACUAACCCUGUUACUAACUCCUGUUAGUACACAGGAGUCCUCAGUAAAAUCUUUGGUUCGUUGUACAGAGUAUCCCAGGUUCUAGAACUUCAUUUAAAAGUUAUGUACAAAGAGGUACAAUAAGCGAACAGACCUCCCUGCCAUAGCUGGGUGCAUUCUGAGAAAUGUUCAAGAAAGAAAACCUUGCCAUUACUCUAGAAAAUUCUCUUGGCAACAGUCCUUCACUAAGACAGCAACGGUGUUCUGCUCUCAGGCCUCAUUAACAAGUCUUACCUCCUUUUGAACUUCAUAUAAAAGUUCAAAAGGACUUCAUAUAUAAUAUUACGAUGCAUUAUAAUAUUUUGUUUCUGUCUCCCUUGGUUUAGCAUAAUGUACGUUAGUUAUCCACAUUGAUAUAUACAUAUAUAUUAAAAUUUUCUUACUUCAUAUUAACGAGAAAUAGUCAAUUCUGUGAAUAUGCCACAUUUUAUCUACUCAUUUCCUCGGGUUAUUCCUGAUACUUUGCUUUAUGGGUGAAGUUACAUGAACAUUAUCAUAUACAUGUGCUUAGGUGUAUGCAUAUAUCACCUCUUUAGUGUUUGUAACUAUGGGUGACACUCCUCUGUGACAAGGUCUCUGCGUGUUAUAUGCAGAGCCAAA